UUGGAGGGCAAGUCUGGUGCCAGCAGCCGCGGUAAUUCCAGCUCCAAUAGCGUAUAUUAAAGUUGCUGCAGUUAAAAAGCUCGUAGUUGAAUUUCGGGACCAUCAUGUCGGUCGUGCCUCGGUACGUACUGGCAUUGUUGGUUUCUCCCUUCUGACGAACCAUGAUGUCAUUUAUUUGGUGUUGUGGGAAAUCAGGACUGUUACUUUGAAAAAAUUAGAGUGUUUAAAGCAGGCUCACGCUUGAAUACAUUAGCACGGAAUAAAGAAAUAGGACGUUUGAUUCUAUUUUGUUGGUUUCUAGGAUCGACGUAAUGAUUAAUAGGGAUAGUUGGGGGCAUUAGUAUUCAAUUGUCAGAGGUGAAAUUCUUGGAUUUAUUGAAGACUAACUACUGCGAAAGCAUUUGCCAAGGAUGUUUUCAUUAAUCAAGAACGAAAGUUAGGGGAUCGAGGACGAUCAGAUACCGUCGUAGUCUUAACCAUAAACUAUGCCGACUAGGGAUCGGAUGAUGUUAAUUUUUUAAUGACUCAUUCGGCGCCUUACGGGAAACCAAAGUGUUUGGGUUC
rnacentral:rRNA from 1 species